GGCGAGCGAAAUUGGAAGAGCCUGCAAGUGAUAUUGAAUUCGAUACUGGAACGGUCUGGAAAGUCCGGCUACAGAGGGUGAUAGCCCCGUACGGGAAAUUGGGUUCAAGGUACUGAGCUUGCGAAAAGUAGAGCGGGACACGUGAAAUCCUGCUCGAAGAUGGGGGGACCAUCCUCCAAGGCUAAAUACUCGUAAUCGACCGAUAGCGAACCAGUACUGUGAAGGAAAGGCGAAAAGAACCCCGGGAGGGGAGUGAAAUAGAUCCUGAAACCGCAUACAUACAAACAGUAGGAGCCCGCAAGGGUGACUGCGUACCUUUUGCAUAAUGGGUCAGCGACUUACGUUCAAUGGCAAGCUUAACCGAGUAGGGGAGGCGCAGCGAAAGCGAGUCCGAACAGGGCGAUAUGAGUCGUUGGGCGUAGACCCGAAACCAGAUGAUCUAUCCAUGGCCAGGCUGAAGGUGUGGUAACACACACUGGAGGGCCGAACCGACUAGUGUUGCAAAAUUAGCGGAUGAGCUGUGGAUAGGGGUGAAAGGCUAAACAAAUCUGGAGAUAGCUGGUUCUCCCCGAAAACUAUUGAGGUAGUGCCUCGUGUAUGGCUCCAGGGGGUAGAGCACUGUUAUGGCUAGGGGGACAUGGCGUCUUACCAAACCAUGGCAAACUCCGAAUACUUGGAAGUCUGAGCACGGGAGACAGAGCACCGGGUGCUAACGUCCGGACUCAAAAGGGAAACAACCCAGACCGCCGGCUAAGGUCCCUAAUAUUGACUAAGUGGAAAACGAAGUGGGAAGGCUAAGACAGUCAGGAAGUUGGCUUAGAAGCAGCCAUCCUUCAAAGAAAGCGUAAUAGCUCACUGAUCGAGUCUUCCUGCGCGGAAGAUGUAACGGGGCUAAGUCAAUAACCGAAGCCGCGGAUUCGCAGCAAUGCGAGUGGUAGGGGAGCGUUCUGUAAGCCUGCGAAGGCGGAUCCGCGAGGACCGCUGGAGGUAUCAGAAGUGCGAAUGCUGACAUGAGUAACGUUAAAGCGGGUGAAAAGCCCGCUCGCCGCAAGCCCAAGGUUUCCUGCUCUACGUUCAUCGGAGCAGGGUGAGUCGGCCCCUAAGGUCAGGCUGAGAAGCGUAGCUGAUGGGAAGCUGGUUAAUAUUCCAGCACCGAUUUCAAGUGCGAAGGGGGGACGGAGUCCUGAAGGUCAUCCGGGUGUUGGAUAUCCCGGUUUACGAGCGUAGGAGGUUGACAGGCAAAUCCGUCAACGAAUCUCCAAGGCGAAGGAUCGAGGUUGAGAGAUCAACUGAAGUGACUGAAUGGGCUUCCAGGAAAAGCCUCUAAGCGUCAGCUUGGAAUUGACCGUACCGCAAACCGACACUGGUGGGCGAGCUGAAUAUGCUCAGGCGCUUGAGAGAACUCAGGAGAAGGAACUCGGCAAAUUGACCCCGUAACUUCGGGAUAAGGUGUGCCUUUGUAGUGUGAAGAGAGAAACACUCCGAGCAUGAAGAGGCCUCAGAGAAUCGGUGGCUGCAACUGUUUACUAAAAACACAGCACUCUGCAAAGAUGAAAGUCGACGUAUAGGGUGUGAUGCCUGCCCGGUGCUGGAAGAUUAAUUGAUGGGGUGAGAGCCCUUGAUCGAAGUCCCAGUAAACGGCGGCCGUAACUAUAACGGUCCUAAGGUAGCGAAAUUCCUUGUC
rnacentral:rRNA from 1 species